rnacentral:rRNA from 1 species
GGGUUGUGAGGUUAAGCGACUAAGCGUACACGGUGGAUGCCCUGGCAGUCAGAGGCGAUGAAGGACGUGCUAAUCUGCGAUAAGCGUCGGUAAGGUGAUAUGAACCGUUAUAACCGGCGAUUUCCGAAUGGGGAAACCCAGUGUGUUUCGACACACUAUCAUUAACUGAAUCCAUAGGUUAAUGAGGCGAACCGGGGGAACUGAAACAUCUAAGUACCCCGAGGAAAAGAAAUCAACCGAGAUUCCCCCAGUAGCGGCGAGCGAACGGGGAGGAGCCCAGAGCCUGAAUCAGUGUGUGUGUUAGUGGAAGCGUCUGGAAAGGCGCGCGAUACAGGGUGACAGCCCCGUACACAAAAAUGCACAUAUUGUGAGCUCGAUGAGUAGGGCGGGACACGUGGUAUCCUGUCUGAAUAUGGGGGGACCAUCCUCCAAGGCUAAAUACUCCUGACUGACCGAUAGUGAACCAGUACCGUGAGGGAAAGGCGAAAAGAACCCCGGCGAGGGGAGUGAAAAAGAACCUGAAACCGUGUACGUACAAGCAGUGGGAGCCUCUUUUAUGGGGUGACUGCGUACCUUUUGUAUAAUGGGUCAGCGACUUAUAUUCUGUAGCAAGGUUAACCGAAUAGGGGAGCCGAAGGGAAACCGAGUCUUAACUGGGCGUUAAGUUGCAGGGUAUAGACCCGAAACCCGGUGAUCUAGCCAUGGGCAGGUUGAAGGUUGGGUAACACUAACUGGAGGACCGAACCGACUAAUGUUGAAAAAUUAGCGGAUGACUUGUGGCUGGGGGUGAAAGGCCAAUCAAACCGGGAGAUAGCUGGUUCUCCCCGAAAGCUAUUUAGGUAGCGCCUCGUGAAUUCAUCUCCGGGGGUAGAGCACUGUUUCGGCAAGGGGGUCAUCCCGACUUACCAACCCGAUGCAAACUGCGAAUACCGGAGAAUGUUAUCACGGGAGACACACGGCGGGUGCUAACGUCCGUCGUGAAGAGGGAAACAACCCAGACCGCCAGCUAAGGUCCCAAAGUCAUGGUUAAGUGGGAAACGAUGUGGGAAGGCCCAGACAGCCAGGAUGUUGGCUUAGAAGCAGCCAUCAUUUAAAGAAAGCGUAAUAGCUCACUGGUCGAGUCGGCCUGCGCGGAAGAUGUAACGGGGCUAAACCAUGCACCGAAGCUGCGGCAGCGACACUAUGUGUUGUUGGGUAGGGGAGCGUUCUGUAAGCCUGUGAAGGUGUACUGUGAGGUAUGCUGGAGGUAUCAGAAGUGCGAAUGCUGACAUAAGUAACGAUAAAGCGGGUGAAAAGCCCGCUCGCCGGAAGACCAAGGGUUCCUGUCCAACGUUAAUCGGGGCAGGGUGAGUCGACCCCUAAGGCGAGGCCGAAAGGCGUAGUCGAUGGGAAACAGGUUAAUAUUCCUGUACUUGGUGUUACUGCGAAGGGGGGACGGAGAAGGCUAUGUUGGCCGGGCGACGGUUGUCCCGGUUUAAGCGUGUAGGCUGGUUUUCCAGGCAAAUCCGGAAAAUCAAGGCUGAGGCGUGAUGACGAGGCACUACGGUGCUGAAGCAACAAAUGCCCUGCUUCCAGGAAAAGCCUCUAAGCAUCAGGUAACAUCAAAUCGUACCCCAAACCGACACAGGUGGUCAGGUAGAGAAUACCAAGGCGCUUGAGAGAACUCGGGUGAAGGAACUAGGCAAAAUGGUGCCGUAACUUCGGGAGAAGGCACGCUGAUAUGUAGGUGAAGUCCCUCGCGGAUGGAGCUGAAAUCAGUCGAAGAUACCAGCUGGCUGCAACUGUUUAUUAAAAACACAGCACUGUGCAAACACGAAAGUGGACGUAUACGGUGUGACGCCUGCCCGGUGCCGGAAGGUUAAUUGAUGGGGUCAGCGCAAGCGAAGCUCUUGAUCGAAGCCCCGGUAAACGGCGGCCGUAACUAUAACGGUCCUAAGGUAGCGAAAUUCCUUGUCGGGUAAGUUCCGACCUGCACGAAUGGCGUAAUGAUGGCCAGGCUGUCUCCACCCGAGACUCAGUGAAAUUGAACUCGCUGUGAAGAUGCAGUGUACCCGCGGCAAGACGGAAAGACCCCGUGAACCUUUACUAUAGCUUGACACUGAACAUUGAGCCUUGAUGUGUAGGAUAGGUGGGAGGCUUAGAAGUGUGGACGCCAGUCUGCAUGGAGCCGACCUUGAAAUACCACCCUUUAAUGUUUGAUGUUCUAACGUUGACCCGUAAUCCGGGUUGCGGACAGUGUCUGGUGGGUAGUUUGACUGGGGCGGUCUCCUCCUAAAGAGUAACGGAGGAGCACGAAGGUUGGCUAAUCCUGGUCGGACAUCAGGAGGUUAGUGCAAUGGCAUAAGCCAGCUUGACUGCGAGCGUGACGGCGCGAGCAGGUGCGAAAGCAGGUCAUAGUGAUCCGGUGGUUCUGAAUGGAAGGGCCAUCGCUCAACGGAUAAAAGGUACUCCGGGGAUAACAGGCUGAUACCGCCCAAGAGUUCAUAUCGACGGCGGUGUUUGGCACCUCGAUGUCGGCUCAUCACAUCCUGGGGCUGAAGUAGGUCCCAAGGGUAUGGCUGUUCGCCAUUUAAAGUGGUACGCGAGCUGGGUUUAGAACGUCGUGAGACAGUUCGGUCCCUAUCUGCCGUGGGCGCUGGAGAACUGAGGGGGGCUGCUCCUAGUACGAGAGGACCGGAGUGGACGCAUCACUGGUGUUCGGGUUGUCAUGCCAAUGGCACUGCCCGGUAGCUAAAUGCGGAAGAGAUAAGUGCUGAAAGCAUCUAAGCACGAAACUUGCCCCGAGAUGAGUUCUCCCUGACCCUUUAAGGGUCCUGAAGGAACGUUGAAGACGACGACGUUGAUAGGCCGGGUGUGUAAGCGCAGCGAUGCGUUGAGCUAACCGGUACUAAUGAACCGUGAGGCUUAACCUUACAACGCCGAAG